CGAACGGCAGCACAGGGAGCUUACUCCCGGGUGGCGAGUGGCGCACGGGUGAGUAAUACAUCGGAACGUGUCCUGUUGUGGGGGAUAACUGCUCGAAAGGGUGGCUAAUACCGCAUGAGACCUGAGGGUGAAAGCGGGGGAUCGCAAGACCUCGCGCAAUUGGAGCGGCCGAUGCCCGAUUAGCUAGUUGGUGAGGUAAAGGCUCACCAAGGCGACGAUCGGUAGCUGGUCUGAGAGGACGACCAGCCACACUGGGACUGAGACACGGCCCAGACUCCUACGGGAGGCAGCAGUGGGGAAUUUUGGACAAUGGGGGCAACCCUGAUCCAGCCAUGCCGCGUGCAGGAUGAAGGCCUUCGGGUUGUAAACUGCUUUUGUCAGGGACGAAAAGGACCGUGUUAAUACCGUGGUCUGCUGACGGUACCUGAAGAAUAAGCACCGGCUAACUACGUGCCAGCAGCCGCGGUAAUACGUAGGGUGCAAGCGUUAAUCGGAAUUACUGGGCGUAAAGCGUGCGCAGGCGGUUCUGUAAGACAGAUGUGAAAUCCCCGGGCUCAACCUGGGAAUUGCAUUUGUGACUGCAGGACUAGAGUUCAUCAGAGGGGGGUGGAAUUCCAAGUGUAGCAGUGAAAUGCGUAGAUAUUUGGAAGAACACCAAUGGCGAAGGCAGCCCCCUGUGAUGCGACUGACGCUCAUGCACGACAGCGUGAGGAGCAAACAGGAUUAGAUACCCUGGUAGUCCACGCCCUAAACGAUGUCUACUGGUUGUUGGGGUUUAUUAACCUUGGU
rnacentral:rRNA from 1 species